CUGGGGCUAACGUCUGCCAGGGAAUCAGGAGCAGCACUUUGAUCAACGCUCACACACCACCACACUGGUGAUCUGCUGAUAAAGGUUCAACUGCAGUCUGACUUGUUCUGAGGACACACAGAGAAACAGCAUCUAACCUGGUGGAGGAGGUGACAGGACUGGAGGUGGAGAUCAGGAGGGCUUCUUCAGAGUCACGUCAUUUCCUCCCUCCAGAGAGAGAAGCACAGUCAUGUUUCUGGUCAGUUGCUGAGAUGUGUUCAGCUCUGACAUCCUCAUCCAUGAUCUCUCUUGUCAUCCCAGUCUCUGUGUCGCUACUGUGGGCUGCAGGUCUCUCUGAGGGGAGUGAUGUCACCCAGACCCCCAGCAUCCUCUGGUCAAUCAAGGGGCAGCCUGCUGAGAUGGACUGCAGUCACACCAAGGGUGUUGGGUACUACCAGAUGUACUGGUACAGACAGCUACCAGGACAGGGGAUGAAGCAGGUUGCGUUCACUGUUGCCAGCAGCAAGCCUGACUAUGGAGAGUUCAGUGAAGUCAAAUUCUCUGCAAACAAGACUGUAGCAGAGAGAGGGUCUUUCACAGUGAAGAACUCUUUACCAGAAGACAACGGCAUGUACUUCUGUGCUGUUUAUGAACACAGUGAUACAGACAUCAUGUGCAGCUGCACAAAAACCCCCUGUGAGUUUUGAUCUUCAUUCAGAAUGAUGAACCAUCUGAUGAUGUUUAUCCCCAUUAUGGACUGUAGGGGGCACUCUAGUUCCAUUAAUCCUCACGUCUCUAAUGUUGCUGUUGCCUCAGACUUCUCCUGAAAGGUCCUGAGUGACGUCAUGUGAGAUGACAGUGUGUUCUGCUGACACUCCCUCCAUCCACCUCCUCUGGGCAGAGUCACUGUGACACAGCAGGGGGUGGGUGUAGCUCAGUGGUAGACAGCCUCCUCCCUCUCAGUCAGUAAGCAGACUUCAUGUGAACAGAACUUUUCAAACCGUUACAAAGUGCUUUCCUGCACAUUUAUCAAUCCAACAAACCAACACAGAAUCAAAGCCAGUCCCAGUAAAGACAACAGUGGUCCAGCAGUAACAGGUCAGAACAAGUCCCUGAUUAUCUGAGUGAAGCCUCACUGGUAGAGCUUCAGCAGAC